AUUGAACGCUGGCGGCAUGCUUUACACAUGCAAGUCGAACGGUAACAGGCCGCAAGGUGCUGACGAGUGGCGAACGGGUGAGUAAUGCAUCGGAACGUGCCCAGUCGUGGGGGAUAACUACUCGAAAGAGUAGCUAAUACCGCAUACGAUCUAUGGAUGAAAGCGGGGGACCGUAAGGCCUCGCGCGAUUGGAGCGGCCGAUGUCAGAUUAGGUAGUUGGUGGGGUAAAGGCUCACCAAGCCAACGAUCUGUAGCUGGUCUGAGAGGACGACCAGCCACACUGGGACUGAGACACGGCCCAGACUCCUACGGGAGGCAGCAGUGGGGAAUUUUGGACAAUGGGCGCAAGCCUGAUCCAGCAAUGCCGCGUGCAGGAAGAAGGCCUUCGGGUUGUAAACUGCUUUUGUACGGAACGAAACGGCUCUGGUUAAUACCUGGGGCUAAUGACGGUACCGUAAGAAUAAGCACCGGCUAACUACGUG
rnacentral:rRNA from 1 species